CCUUCUCGCCCGGAGGAGGGCUGACCGUAAACUCUCGGAAAGUCUCACCAGACGCUAAGGUUGAGGUGGGCUUCCCGUUUGGCCCACUGCUCGGUGGAGUUGACCGUGGACUGUCUUCGGAGGCUCUGGCCGGAGGGGGAGAAACUUUCGAUUUGUUUUUCUACUUUAAGUGAACCGACACUUGCCUCGGGUCUAGGCAAAGCGGCGGAGCAACCGAAGUUCACUUUUCAGGAGUUCAUAACGUAAACGGAGGUUCCUAGGCCCCGCCCAGACUUCUUUAACAAAAGCGUCCUGAGACCCUCGCUAACCGACUCGGACUCUCGGGCUGCGCUCUACGUGGAGCAUUACGGCGCGCACCGAGCCGCUGACCUGUGACCCGGAAGUUUUCUCCCCGAGCCGCGCACGUUGAGCCGGCUUUGGGUCUGCCUUUUUCCGAUAGCCUGCAGUCAUGUCUUCCAAGAAGAACAGAAAGCGGCAGAAAGAGGGCGCGGAGGGCGCCUCGCCCUCGCUGUCUGCUGCUUCGUCUCGCUCGGGGACCCCGGCUCCUCUCGCCCGGCCGGCCGUGGCGGCGCCGGGGAUGCUGGUGGUCACCAACUUCCUUGAGAAAGUAGAUGGCAAAGUUCCUAAGACAUUCCAGAAUUCCCUUGUUCAUCUUGGACUUAAUACUAUGAAGUCUGCAAACAUUUGUAUAGGCCGACCAGUGCUCCUUACCAGUUUGGAUGGAAAGCAGGAGGUUUAUACAGCCUGGCCAGUUGCAGGAUUUCCUGGAGGCAAGGUUGGCCUGAGUGAAAUGGCACAGAAGAAUGUGGGUGUGAGAGCUGGCGAUACCAUCCAGGUCCAGCCUCUUUUGGGAGCUGUGCUUCAAGCUCAGGAAAUGGACUUGGCACUGAGUGACAAAGAUAAGGAAAUUAAUGAAGAAGAACUGACUGGUUGUAUUCUGAGAAAACUAGAUGGCAAGAUUGUUUUACCAGGCAACUUCCUGUACUGUACAUUCUAUGGACGACUCUGCAAGUUACAAGUGUUGCAAGUAAAAGGGACAGAUGGCACAACAUUGGGAAAACCUCAGAGUGCCUCUGCUGCUGAUAGCCAGGGCCUGGCGUCUGAACACUCCAGCAUGGAAAGCAGUGACGGGGAUAUAUCCUUCCAGCUAAGCCAGUUAGAUCUGAAAGAGCCUCAGAGCCCAGCAUCCCAGAGUACUCCCUGUAAAUCCGUUAAAGACAGAGUUAUGAAUAAAGCUGGUGAAGUUUUGUUAGAUGUUACACAGAGCCCCAGGGAUGGCAGUGGACUUGGACUAGAGGAAGUCACAGGUCCUAAGUGUAGUUUUGAUUCAUCCAGAGAAGGAAAUACACAGCCUGUCAAUGAAGAGAAACUACUGAAGUCUACCAGUGCAGGGGCAAAGAGGAAUACUGAUACUUUUUAUUUUAUUUCUUCGACAACAAGAAUCAACCUUAAAAAAAUUUGUACAAAUUCAAAAGAACAAGACAGCCAAUUCAAAGUAACUUAUGACAUGAUUGGAGGCUUAAACAGUCAGCUGAAAGCAAUAAGAGAAAUAAUUGAACUGCCUCUCAAGCAGCCUGAACUUUUCAAGAGUUAUGGGAUUCCAGCACCUAGAGGGUUGUUACUCUAUGGUCCUCCAGGCACUGGGAAGACAAUGAUUGCUAGGGCUGUUGCGAAUGAAGUUGGAGCUUAUGUUUCUGUAAUUAAUGGACCCGAAAUUAUAAGCAAAUUCUAUGGUGAGACUGAAGCAAGGUUACGCCAGAUAUUUGCUGAAGCCACCCUACGGCACCCAUCAAUUAUUUUUAUUGAUGAGCUGGAUGCACUUUGCCCUAAAAGAGAAGGAGCUCAAAAUGAAGUGGAAAAGAGAGUUGUAGCCUCACUCUUAACACUGAUGGAUGGCAUAGGCUCAGAAGGAAGUGAAGGACGGGUAUUAGUCCUUGGGGCUACAAAUCGCCCUCAGGCGCUAGAUGCUGCACUCAGAAGACCAGGACGAUUUGAUAAAGAGAUUGAGAUCGGUGUUCCUAAUGCCCAGGACAGGCUUGAUAUUCUCCAGAAGCUGCUCCGAAGGGUGCCACACUUGCUCACUAAAGCUGAGCUGCUGAGGCUGGCAAAUAAUGCCCAUGGAUAUGUUGGCGCAGACUUGAAGGCUUUGUGUAAUGAGGCAGGUCUGUAUGCCUUGCGAAGAGUCCUGAGGAAACAGCCUAAUCUCCCUGAUAGCAAGGUGGCUGGCAUGGUAAAAAUUACCCUGAAUGAUUUCUUACAAGGGAUGAAUGACAUCAGACCUAGUGCUAUGAGAGAGGUAGCGAUUGAUGUCCCAAAUGUAUCCUGGUCAGAUAUUGGAGGACUGGAAAAUAUCAAACUGAAAUUGAAACAGGCUGUGGAAUGGCCCUUGAAACACCCUAAGUCUUUCAUCAGAAUGGGUAUUCAGCCACCUAAAGGAGUUCUCUUGUAUGGUCCUCCUGGAUGCUCCAAAACAAUGAUAGCGAAGGCUUUGGCCAAUGAAAGCGGGUUGAACUUUCUAGCUAUAAAGGGGCCUGAGUUAAUGAAUAAAUAUGUUGGUGAAUCUGAAAGAGCAGUUAGAGAGAUAUUCCGUAAAGCAAGAGCAGUGGCACCUUCCAUUAUCUUUUUUGAUGAACUUGAUGCUUUGGCAGUUGAAAGGGGCAGUUCUUCAGGUGCUGGGAAUGUUGCAGACCGUGUUUUGGCUCAGCUGUUAACGGAGAUGGAUGGGAUUGAACAGCUAAAAGAUGUAACAGUUUUGGCAGCUACUAAUCGCCCAGACAGAAUAGACAAGGCUUUGAUGCGGCCUGGAAGAAUUGAUAGGAUCAUUUAUGUGCCCUUACCGGAUGCAGCAACAAGACGGGAAAUACUGAACCUACAGUUCCACUCAAUGCCAGUCAGUAACGAGGUUGAUCUGGAUGAACUCGUCCUCCAAACUGACACUUAUUCAGGAGCCGAGAAUCCCAAAUGAAGAUCAAGCCAGCUUCAUAGGAAGAUUUACUACAUCCUGGUGAGCAGACACUUCCUCUUUGCCUUGAAAGGACAAAACGAUGUUCAGCUGUCUGGGCUUGGGCCCAGUAUUUGAUUUAUACAUUAUUUAAUUUCCUCCUGAAAAUUGGAAGCAGGACUCUCAGGAAUGGAAAUCAUAGCUCUCUGCAAGGAGGCUGCUCUUCUGGCCCUGGAAGAAGAUAUUAAAGCUGACCGCAUUAUGAAGAGGCAUUUCACUCAAGCCUUGAGCAUUGUGACACCUAGAAUCCCAGAGUCACUGAUGCGCUUUUAUGAAGAUUACCAGGAGAAGAGUGGGUUACACACAGCCUAAGAAAUGCGUACUUAUAUGCAUAUA